rnacentral:rRNA from 1 species
UACAGAGGUCCCAAGCGUUGUUCGGAUUCACUGGGCGUAAAGGGUGCGUAGGUGGGUUGGUAAGUCAGUGGUGAAAUCUCCAGGCUUAACUUGGAAACUGCCAUUGAUACUAUUAAUCUUGAAUGCCGUGGAGGUCAGCGGAAUAUGUCAUGUAGCGGUGAAAUGCUUAGAUAUGACAUAGAACACCAAUUGCGAAGGCAGCUGGCUACACGAAUAUUGACACUGAUGCACGAAAGCGUGGGGAUCAAACAGG